GCACGUGCAGAGGACAAUCUGUCAGUAUUAUCUGUCACCCCACUGAUGGCUAGGGUUGAUUCAGGUGAUCUUGUUCCCUCACCGCUCCAUGUGCAUCCCUCCUGAAGCUGUGUAUUUGAUCAAAGAGGACAGCUUUUCCCAAUAAGGAUGUAAAGAUGAUAAAGAUGCUCAUCAGUCAAGAGUAUACGGUAGCUAUACUGCCUGGCUAGAACCUCUGAACAAGCUUCACAGAUCACCAUUAGAAAAGAGUACAUAUCAAGACUUUAGUCAGCCAUACUGAAGUUCCAAGCUGGAAAAUAUCCACCGUG
rnacentral:snRNA from 1 species